UGGCAGGCGCUGCCAGGGCAGAGGCGCUGCUGGCAGCCGGUGCGGGAGAGGGGCGCGGCGAGGACGGGGCGACCCCGGGCGGCAUGGGCGGCAGCGAGAGCAGCCAGGGCGGCAGGAGGGUGUCCUUCGGGCUGGAUGAGCGGGAGCGGGUCCGGGUGCUGCAGGGCAUCAGGCUCACUGAAGAUGUAGUGAACCGGAUGAAAGGAUCCUCUCAAAGUAGAAGGGACAACCAGAGAUCUCCCCGUGCAUCCAAUGGCACAGCUCCGUCCUCACUGGCUGCAGAAGGGAAACCCAGACCUACAGGAAUUCAGCCACCAAAGGCAAGUGACUCUGCUGCAGAGCAGGAUCUCUACAAGAGGUAUGUGGAAGAACAGACACUGGUCCAAGAGGAGUUGCUCUGGCUGGCCAAUAGAGAAAGGGAAGCAGCCAGUGAGGCUAAGGCAAGGAACAGCAUUAUUGUGGAGAGGCAGAGAGCAGCCCAGCUGCCUGUGGAUUUGGAUGCCUGGGCUGUGGAGCUGCAAGACUGGGAGGCAGACCUGAAGCGACAAGAGGCCUUCUAUAAAGAGCAGUUGGCCCGCAUUGAGAAGAAGAAUGCAGAGAUCUACAAGAUGACAUCUGAGCAGUAUCAGGAGGCAGCCACCAAGGCAGAGGAACGGAUAAAGAGGAGGAAUGCUGAUCCUAUCUGUGCAAACUUGCAGUCUGAAAUUCUGAAGUGCUACCAAGAAAACAAACGUGAAGUGCUCAAAUGCUCGGAGCUGGCAAAGGAAUAUCAGCGCUGUGUUAGUGCAGCUCGGAAGGAGCUGUUACUUGUAUGACCUUCAUGCGUGAAACAGUUUCUCUUUUGAAAUGUGUUUUCCCCUUUAUCAGUUAUUCAUUGAAGAGUCUCUUUGCAUCUGUAGAAUUUUGAAGGGUAGCUAUUAUUUUACCAUUUUAAUUUUCCCAGCUGUUCAAAUAAUUGUUUUAACCUCUCAGUGCCUGGAAGUGCUUUUCAAAUCCUGAUAGCUUUGCAUUGUAUUUCUUUGGUUUCAUGGUAUAAAUUGCCAACAGUUUUUUCCCUAUUCCAAAUGGUUAGUCUGUGACUUUCUUCUCUAUAGCUUUAAAGUCUGCCCUGUUCUGAACACCACUGACAGCAAGGCACUUUUGAACUUCCACAUUGGGAUACUGAGCUCUCACAUCCUGUUUUGGGGUUUGGGCUUUUUUGUUGUUGUUCUCCACACACACACAUGCACCCUGCAAAAAAAUAACUUCAAUACUAAAAGAUCCCAUUAAAACCAGAACAAACUGAUUAUUCUGAAAGGUCUUGCCAGUGGCCUCUCUGGAGCUGCAUUUCGCUGUAUGUAGGGAAGGGGCUUUGACAGAGACAAUGAAGCCAGCACUGAAUACAUUGUCUUCCUGCAGUUUUACAGAGAGUAAAGUCAAAGCAUUUCAUUUGACAGUGGUUUCUCUAGCCCUGACACAAGGCUGUGAUGGCUGAGGACAAGGGAAAGCUUCCUGCUGGUCUGGCAGAGGACAUGGCUGAUUGAGCUGAGCACUCAGUUCCAGGGCAGUGUUCCCAGCCCAGGGUGAUGCUCAAAGGGGGAGGAAUGCAUCUUCUGUCCUACCUGGGGCAAAACACUUCCAUGUGGGAAUAUCCCCAGACCAGCAGUGUCUCAUUUCAUAGCUUCACUUUUCUUUUUGGUAUUGGUAUUGAUACUUAUUUUCAUUGAGCAUUGCUUCUCUUGAGUAUGUCUUUAAUGGCCUUGCCAUAGGGACAAAGGUAAAAUUUGAAAAUAAGUAAUUAUAUUGUGAUAUUCUGGACAUAUUUUUGUAGUUUCUCUUAUGUGUUCUUCUCACAUGUUCUGAAAGUUGCAAAAGGUGAUUUAUAAUUCAUCAAACUAAGCAUAAAACAUCUGACUGCAAAGCCUAUCAAUCUGAUCCCAUCUCUUUCCAGCCCUUUAAUUAGGGAAGCCUUGCUGAAAAAUGUACCCAUCAGCUACUGAGAAAUAGUGCAUUCCUGGACCCUCAGUAUAGAUCUUGAGUUAUCCAGGUGCCAAAAUGCUGUCAGAACUGACAGAUCUUAGAAAAUACACCCACAGGCAGAACAUUAUCCAUUAUACCAGCACUGAGCAGUGGGCAGUAAGGAAAAAUCAGCAGAGAAUGUGUCUUUAUAAACUUUAAUUGGCUUUUCCAUUGCUAAAAAUCAGUGUAUCCGGCAGGGAAGAGAACCUAUCUAGCAGUUUGAUUUUUCCAUCCCAGAGCUGAAGGGUGCAGUCCAUCUUCACUGACGUGUGAUGUGGACUUGUCUCAGCACAGCUCCUGGCAGUGCAGUGGAAUCCACAGCCCACAGAGAAGGCUGCCAGUCUGUCCUCGGAGCUGUUAGUUAAUUCUGGAUAAACAUCAUCCGCCAAAGAGCAGAGGACAGGGACCACAGAGGCCCUUGGAAGCCCCAGCAUCCUUCUGGACAGACACUGACCAAAACUGGUGCCUUCUGCCCUCGAUGACCAAGACAAUACAAUAUGAUUCCUCCUCUAACUGUCUGCAUGUAUCAGUCUCGGUGGAGUUCCUGGGGUUGGGAGAAGGGUCCCAGGAGUGGGGAAUGCUAUCGUUUCUUUUCAUUGUUCUGCAAUGUAAAGAACUGUGUUGACCCCAGUGCUUCCAGCAUAGCUUGUAGCUUAGAGUCUUGCUCCAACACAAGUCUGGUUCACUCAGUACUAACUUUGGUUUCACCAACCAACAUCUGAGUUUCAAGAGUCUGCCUCUGAUUGUUUGCUCUGGAGAAAAGGGUCCAAAGUAUUUGGAAGUAGCCCUGAGUAGCUUGUUAGGAUUAACUGUUCCUAGCAUGCUCCCAUUGGUUACACCAGCAGGCACAUUCCUUCCCUUCCAGGGUUCCCUCCUAAACAAUAAAGUGUUUAACAGUCA